rnacentral:rRNA from 1 species
GUAAAGUACUUUCAGUCGUGAGGAAGGCGGCGUCGUUAAUAGCGGCGUUGUUUGACGUUAGCGACAGAAGAAAGCACCGGCUAACUCCGUGCCAGCAGCCGCGGUAAUACGGAGGGUGCGAGCGUUAAUCGGAAUUACUGGGCGUAAAGCGCAUGCAGGUGGUUUGUUAAGUCAGAUGUGAAAGACCCGGGGCUCAACCUCGGAAUUGCAUUUGAAACUGGCAGACUAGAGUACUGUAGAGGGGGGUAGGAAUUUCAGGUGUAGCGGUGAAAUGCGUAGAGAUCUGAAGGAAUACCGGUGGCGAAGGCGGCCCCCUCGGACAGAUACUGACACUCAGAUGCGAAAGCGUGGGGAGCAAACAGGAUUAGAUACCCUGGUAG